UACGAAGGGGGCUAGCGUUGUUCGGAAUUACUGGGCGUAAAGCGCACGUAGGCGGAUAUUUAAGUCGGGGGUGAAAUCCCGGGGCUCAACCCCGGAACUGCCUUCGAUACUGGGUAUCUUGAGUUCGGAAGAGGUGAGUGGAAUUGCGAGUGUAGAGGUGAAAUUCGUAGAUAUUCGCAGGAACACCAGUGGCGAAGGCGGCUCACUGGUCCGAUACUGACGCUGAGGUGGCGAAAGCGUGGGGAGCAAACAGGG
rnacentral:rRNA from 1 species